GGGCAGGUAGUUCAGUGGUAGAACACCCAAGCGCUAUAAGGGAGGCCCAGGUUCGAGUCCUGGCCAGUCCA